GCUGCAGACUUUAGAAAACCCAUUUAAAGCUUUAUGCUGCCUCUUGAUCUACCUCUUUGUGCAGGUGGACUCUCUUUGCCUGGAGGAUUUACAUGCUUUCAUUGCUCAGGCUGUUUGUCUCCAAGGAAAAUCAACUAGUCAACUUGCAG
rnacentral:lncRNA from 1 species